rnacentral:rRNA from 1 species
CCAGCAGUCGCGGUUAGACGAAUAAUACAAGUAAAUUUUGUUGGAUUGAGUUAAAUUUAUUUUUAUUUAAUUUUUUUAAAUUUAUUAGGUGAAAUUUUAAAUUUAUUUAAUUAAUUUUUAUAGUAAUUGAAGCUUGGAAAUUUUAAUAAAAAACUAGGAUUAGAUACCCUAUUAUUUAAAAUUGAAUUUUAAUCUUAGGUAGUAGUAGUUAUGAUCUUGAAACUUAAAAAAUUUGGCGGUAUUUUAGUCUAUCCAGAGGAACCUGUUCUGUAAUCGAUAAUCCACGUUGGACCUUACUUAAUAAUGUUUUCAGUUUAUAUACCGUCGUUAUAAGAAUAUUUUAUAAGGAUAAUAAUUUUCUUAAAUUUUUAUUAAAAUUUAUAUCAGAUCAAGGUGUAGCUAAUGAUUAAGUAGAAAUGGGUUACAAUAAAUUUAUUUAUAUGGAUAAUUAUAUGAAAAAUUUUUUGAAGGUGGAUUUGGUAGUAAAUUUAUAAAUAUUAUUAAUUUGAUUUUAGCUCUAAAAUAUGC